rnacentral:rRNA from 1 species
UACGGAGGAUGCGAGCGUUAUCCGGAUUUAUUGGGUUUAAAGGGUGCGUAGGCGGUAUGGUAAGUCAGCGGUAAAAGCCCGGGGCUCAACCCCGGCCCGCCGUUGAAACUGGCAGUCUCGAGUUGGAGAGAAGUAUGCGGAAUGCGCGGUGUAGCGGUGAAAUGCUUAGAUAUCACGCAGAACUCCGAUUGCGAAGGCAGCAUACCGGCGCUCAACUGACGCUCAUGCACGAAAGUGUGGGUAUCGAACAGG